rnacentral:rRNA from 1 species
GAUGAACGCUGGCGGCGUGCCUAAUACAUGCAAGUCGAGCGAACGGACGAGAAGCUUGCUUUUCUGAUGUUAGCGGCGGACGGGUGAGUAACACGUGGAUAACCUACCUAUAAGACUGGGAUAACUUCGGGAAACCGGAGCUAAUACCGGAUAAUAUUUUGAACCGCAUGGUUCAAAAGUGAAAGACGGUCUUGCUGUCACUUAUAGAUGGAUCCGCGCUGCAUUAGCUAGUUGGUAAGGUAACGGCUUACCAAGGCAACGAUGCAUAGCCGACCUGAGAGGGUCGGCAGCCACACGGGAACUGAGCCCAGGGACAGACGCCUAAGGGAGGCAGCAGUAGGGAAUAUUGCGCGAUGGGCGAAAGCAUGAAGGAGCAAAGCCGCGUGAGUGAUGAAGGUCUUAAGAUCGUAAAAAUCUGUUAUUAGAGAAGAACAAAUGUGUAAGUAACUAUGAACGUCUUGACGGUACAGAAUCAGAAAGCCACGGCUAACUAAGUG